GGCCCCUCCUCCGAGGCCCCUCAGCUUCCGCAGAUCGCCUCAGAGUGGUCCCAGCGAGAAGAGGGCUGGGUCUUAGUCACGCCAGCGAGGAGGCGACCAAUGGUGACUGAGAUGGGCGUGCUGGGGAAGUCGGGCUCAGACCUCAGCAGGUCGCGGAGAAAAGGGGGAAUGAACUCUUCGAGAGGACUGUCAUGGCUGUUCGACCAUUCUCAGAUUUCCCCUUGAGACAGGAAAGCUGGUCGUCAGGCCAUGGAAAGCGCUACAAUCAGGGCUCUAGAGCUGUGCUUUAGAUAGACCCUUGAGUACAUUGGCGGAUUAAAAUCAUUCUCGAAGGAAUCCUUUUGCUUAAUAGAGACACCUUGAAUGUUAGGGUCGGAAUGAUGACAAUAGCAGGAAUAGAGUAUCAGCUUGGAAGUCAAAGGGGAAUUGAUACGUAUGUCUUGUGAUAGUCUGGCCAUGGUCUGAAAGGAAGAAGAGCUAGAAAUUAGAAGCCACAAAUAUUUGGCAUGUCCUCAAAACCCAUUCCUGGCAGAGUGAAUGCAGGAGCUGGGAAAAGCAUCUAAAGGGGCCAAGAGACUGUCUUCUUGUCUCAAUAUUUAUUGUCUAUGAAACACAAUAAAUCCAGCCCAUCAUGCGAAAUGAUAGAUACCUGACACGUCUUCAUUUUGCCUUUACUGAGCGGGUAUCCACAGAGACAAGUGAUUAUCUGACAGUUCCUGUGCAGAAGUCCACAGAAGGCAGGAAAGAAGGGGCCAGGAGUAAAUCAGGUGCCUCAUAUGAAGACCUCAGCUAAGGAAUAAGAAGAGUAAGAAAACAGCACGUCUUCAAAUAACAUCAUUUCCUUCAACGCCGUUUCAUUAUAAUGUUGAUGAGAAAAAAAAAUCUCUUCCCAGCUGGGGCCACUGUCUGUGUGGAGUCUGCACAUUCUCCUCACGUCUGCAUGGAUUUUCUCCAGGUACUCUGUUUUCCUCUCACUAGGAUACGAUCCCAAAGAUGCACACCUGAGGUUAAUUGGUGUGUCUGAAAGGUCCCAGUGUGAGUGAAUGUGGGUGUGUGCGUGAGUGCGCUCUGCAAUGGGAUAACGUCCUGUCCAGGGCUAGUGCCUGCCUUGUGCCCUGAGCUGCCAGGAUAGGCCCCAGCCACCCAGGACCUUGAACUGGAUUAAUUGGGUAAAUAAUUCUCUUAUCUCUUUUUAUUAAUCUUUCCUAAAUGACUGUAUAGCUCACAUUCGUUUCAAUGUUUAACUUUUAGAAGUGUUUUCAGUCUUUAUGUAGAAGUUUAGUGAUGAUUCUGUUACCAGAACUAUGCCAUAGGAAUUUAACUCUUGUUAGUAUCAAUUAGCCUAUGGCCAAAUUGGUUUCCUUAUACAUCGUUUUGCUUGAAGUCGCGUUUCCAAGAUUUUAUUGACAAUGUUAAGUGAGGACUUACUGUACAGCGUGGGGGUCAGGUUAGAGCAAUGCUAUUCAAAGUGUGGUACACAGAUGGCUGCUGAUCCCCAAACUGCUUUUGGCUUCCAACAAGAUAUGGAGCAGGAGGUAAGUCAACUGCAUCACUAAUCAUACUGUUUGUAGUUCAGCUGGUAUUUUCUUCACAGUGAGACUUUCUCCAUGAAGGUAGCAUUGCAUUGAUUUACAUUUUGACCCAGGCUGUCCUAGGCUUGGACCAUUAACAAAUAGUUCACUGUAAAGCUGCUUUGAGCAGCUCUGGUUUGGAGCAUGGGCUUUGGAAUCAGUCAGAGUGGGCUCUACCACUUAAGCAAGUUCCUUAAGCUGCCUGAGUUCCCUAGUGGGACACAAGGAAGAGUGUGGAUUCUAUUUCAAAAGCAAUUCAAAGCCACUGGGAGGUUUCAAGCCCGAUCAUAAAGUUUCUUGUGAACCAUGUUAGAGUUUGGACUUUGUUCAAGGAAAAGGGACCCACCAAAGAUUUAAAAGCAGGGGAAUGUCAGGAUUAGAACUGUAUUUUGGAAAGUUUACUCUGGCUGUGGUAAAGAUAACAGCUUAGGCGGGACAGGAGGCAAAGAAACCAGCUAAGGGAAGGCAUUCUGGUGGUGGAAUGAGAGAAUAAAUGUAAGAAUGAGUGAAUUCAUAGCAUUUACUAGAUAACAAGCUUCCUUGUGGCAGGAGCCUCACCACCUUUUGCUAUGGAUGUUCUUCAGCACAAACUUUCAGUUUUUGUGCAAGUCAAUUUUUAAUUAACAUUUAACUGGCAAAAAUGACUAGCUAAUAUAAACUCAAGCUAGAUUCUCUGUCCAUUCUAGAGAAGUUGAGCCUUUGUGAGCAAGGCUGAUCUCGCUCAUGAUACAGAAGUCUGUCUCUUUUACCUUGUUUACUUUUUUCCUGUUUACCUUCACAGCCACUGAUCCUCAAGGUUAGCAGAUGAGUAAGUUUCCAAUAGCAGCUGAACUGGAGUGAUUUCUAUCUGGAACCAAACAAAUAGCUAGACUCUGUUUGGAAUUUCUGCUUCCAGAGUUAUCCAGCCACAGAGCCUGUUGCACAAGGCAAACUGGCACUUGCCCAGCAUGCUUAAUAGAAUUCUUAGUACUCUUACCUAGAAGUCCUAUUCAUUAUUUGAGGCCAUGCCAGUCAACACCAGCUCAACCAAUAUCAAUGACCAAGUAACAAUGAAGACAGCUAUUUGUUGAGCACUUACUAUGUACCAGGCACUGAGCUAAGGGAUUUGCAUGCAUUUUCUGAUUUGUUUUCUUGUCACACAGGAUGUUUUUAUUCCUGCUAAUAGAUUCUUUAUGAUUUGAGAUACAUUUAGAAUGUAUAUAUUUUUAUUAUACUUUAAGUUCUAGGGUACAUGUGCACAACGUGCAGGUUUGUUACAUAUGUGUACGUGUGCUAUGUUGGUGUGCUGCACCCAUUAACACGUCAUUUACAUUAGGUAUAUCUCCUAAUGCUAUCCCUCCCCCCUCCCCCUACCCCAUGACAGGCCCCUGUGUGUGAUGUUCCCCACCCUG